rnacentral:lncRNA from 10 species
GGUACUGAGUGGGAAUGAUUAGAAUAAAAUUGAGGACUCUAGCAGCGGACUUAGAAUGGUAUCAGCGGGUUCUCAUCCUACAACCUGACUUUGGAAGUUGGAGAUAAGGGGUGUCUAGGGGUUGGGUCAGACUCCAGUUUUGGAGUCUGACUCACAGUUGGGCGGAGCCAAGGCCCCCUGAGGCUGAGCCAGAACCUCUGAGAGUGAACCUGGAGACUCAGAGGGCAGCUGGCAGGGCUCACAGUGUGGGGUCCCACCCUGCAGAGGCUGGGUCAGGCCCUCAAGGGCUGGGUUGCUGGCUUCAAGAGGCUGGGCCAGGAUGUCAAGGGGCGGAGUUCCGGGUUCCACAGCUGGGACAGUGUUGCCCAGAGCUGAUUCCUGGGACUUGCAGAAACGUGCGAAGCUGCUCCUGCCGCACGUCCACCAGGUACCUGCAGAUGGGAAGCGCCCUGUCAGGGACCCAGAUUUUGAUCCCCAGCCAGGAUGUUCCCCACCCUCCACCCCACUGACUCACCGGGCUAAUUCCACAAUCAAGUUCCCUCCGGGUGCCACACAGGCCCCAAGCUCAGGGAUGAGAAGAUGGACCAUACUGCAGAGAGGACGGAGGACAGGCUGAGAUUCAGCUCCAAAUCCGGAGGGAGGAUGGGGCUCUGGGAUCCCAGACAAUGAGGGAGGAGGGGUGGCAAAACUGGAGUCUGGGUCCUGGGGAAAGAAGGGAGCAGGAGGUCUGGACUCCUGGGUCUGAGGGAGGAGGGGCUGGGGGCCUGGACCCCUGGGUCUAAGCAAGGAGGGGCUGGGGGCCUGGACUCCUGGGUCUGAGGGAGGAGGGGCUGGGGGCCUGAUCCUGGGUCUUUGUGAGCACAGCUGCCUCCCCGCUUACCCACAGGCCACAUAGAGGAGCUGGAAUCGGCCGUUGUAGCAGCUCUUGUGGUGGAGAGUCUGAGCAGAAUUGAGCGGCAGGAAGUGGACGGAGGCUCUCGUCGUCCGCUUCGAUGCCGAAGGCCACGAAGGGCCCCGUGGCGAUGUCCCCCCAGUACCCGCGCGCUGCCACGCGCUCCCCACGCUGGAAAAGGAGGGAGAGAGGAGGCAGGUGAGGUCGAUGUUGGGGCCCCUGACUCCUAGGACUCCGAGCAGCAGCAGUGGGCCAGGACAGGCAGUGGACACGCACGUAGCUCAGGAGGCGACCGGACGCCAGGGUCCGGUUGGGCACAUGAUAGGCGCUGGAGUCCCUGAGUUCAAAGGCGACGCCUGUGUCCCGCCAGCGUCGGAACUCCUGGGGGUGAAUGACUUGAGCCUGGGGUGGGGGGCGGGAAGAAGGGAGCCCUCAGUGAACCGAGCGUGGAGAGACCCCUACACCAGCCUCCCUCAGACCCAGGAGUCCAGGUCCCCAGGCCCUCCUCCCUCAGACCCAGGAGUUCAGGCCCCCAAACCCUCCUCCCUCAGACUCAGGAGGCCCCCAG